AGCUGGGAUUAUAGAUAAAUGAGGAGUUGUCUCUGGUACAGGAACUAAACCAGCUCUGGGAUCCCUAAUGGCUGGGCUGGCCUGGUUGCUUCAGCUCUGGAUUCAAACUGGCCAAGGAUACAGGAGCCCAGGGGUGAGAAUGGUAAGAUCCUGCUUCCAGCUGCCUGCCAGAACCAUUGACUUAAAUGUGUAUAAUAACAGGAGCUAACAUUUAAUCAUCCUAA
rnacentral:lncRNA from 1 species